rnacentral:tRNA from 1 species
GUCAGGAUGGCUCAGUGGUUCAAGGCACUGUAUUCAAGUCUCUGUUGCAGGCGAGGGUUCAAAUUCCACUCCUGACA